GCUUCGGUGGUCUAGUGGUUAGAGUGUCCGCCUCAGAUGCGGGAGGUCGUGGUUCGAACCCCGGCCGAGUCG